rnacentral:rRNA from 1 species
AUGGGCGGAAGCCUGAUACAGCCAUGCCGCGUGUGUGAAGAAGGCCUUAUGGUUGUAAAGCACUUUAAGUGGGGAGGAGGCCCUCUUGGUUAAUACCUAAGAAGAGUGGACGUUACCCACAGAAUAAGCACCGGCUAACUCUGUGCCAGCAGCCGCGGUAAUACAGAGGGUGCGAGCGUUAAUCGGAUUUACUGGGCGUAAAGCGUGCGUAGGCGGCUGAUGAAGUCGGAUGUGAAAUCCCUGAGCUUAACUUAGGAAUUGCAUUCGAUACUGGUCAGCUAGAGUAUGGGAGAGGAUGGUAGAAUUCCAGGUGUAGCGGUGAAAUGCGUAGAGAUCUGGAGGAAUACCGAUGGCGAAGGCAGCCAUCUGGCCUAAUACUGACGCUGAGGUACGAGAGCAUGGGGAGCAAAUAGGAUUAGAUACCCUGGUAGUCCAUGCUGUAAACGAUGUCUACUAGCCGGUUGGGGCCUUUGAGGCUUUAGUGGCGCAGCUAACGCGAUAAGUAGACCGCCUGGGGAGUACGGUCGCAAGACUAAAACUCAAAUGAAUUGACGGGGGCCCGCACAAGCGGUGGAGCAUGUGGUUUAAUUCGAUGCAACGCGAAGAACCUUACCUGGCCUUGACAUAGUAG